UGCCCACAGCAAUUCCUAUCCCUACCUCCACGCGGUACCGGCCGGAAACUAUGAGCAACCAUAGGGAAGA
rnacentral:ribozyme from 1 species